rnacentral:rRNA from 1 species
UACGUAGGGUGCGAGCGUUGUCCGGAAUUAUUGGGCGUAAAGAGCUCGUAGGCGGUGUGUCACGUCGGCCGUGAAAACCUGCAGCUUAACUGUGGGCGUGCGGUCGAUACGGGCAUCACUGGAGUUCGGCAGGGGAGACUGGAAUUCCUGGUGUAGCGGUGAAAUGCGCAGAUAUCAGGAGGAACACCGGUGGCGAAGGCGGGUCUCUGGGCCGAUACUGACGUGAGGAGCGAAAGCGUGGGGAGCGAACAGG